CACACCCAGGACCAACUGACAAUCCACACUCACAGAGAGCCUAGAAGAGAAUGCCAGGCCCUGGUCAGCAUGUUUCCUCUUCUGUAUAAUGACAGCACCACACUGAAUGAUCACCAAGGUUCCACCUAUCUCCAGUGUUCUGUGGCUACGUGAAACCAUGCUCAGCCCAACUGUGCCUUGCCCAUAAGGAAGGAAAGACGAACCCACUAAGACAGAAUCGGAGGGGCAGAAGGCAAGAGAAAAAAUACUUGCCCCAGCGGAUUACGCAGGUGAAGCACCAG